UCGAGAUCAGAGAGGAGUGCCAUACAGCAGCCUGAAAGAGUAUUUGAUUAUCGUGAAAUAUCUGAGGUAAGAAAGAACAUUCCACUAUAAUAAUAUAAUUAAUAAAGUCAUGAACUACUGUACAAUUGAUUUACAGAAGAAAAGAAAGUAACUAUUUGAGAUUAAACUGUAAAUUAGAGAUAAAGAGUAUAUCUUCUUCACAGCUCGAGGCUGGCACAUGGCACAUGGCUCUUGAAUAACAUCCGAUGUGUCUCUCUUGUUUAUAAGAAUUUAAAACCCAUUCAAAGAGAGUGGUUUUUUUUUUGUUUCUUUGUUUUGUUUUGUUUUAUUUUUUUAUGGUUUGUUUGGUUCUUCUGAAGUUGUGAUUUAUGCGUCCCUGGGGCUGUGAACAAGAAUGAAAGAGCCCAGGACAUUGAUGAAGACAAGGAAAGAAAACACCUGAGAAGAACCAGAAGAAUAAAAGUGACAGGUUGGAAUACAACCAUUUGGGACAUUUAUUUUUGUAGAUGAAAGUUUAUUUUACUGUAGAAAUGUAAUGAUCUUCAACUCAAUAUAUCAACAACAAAUGUAAACUUA